AUUUAGUGAACCAUGAAAACAUGGCAUGAUUGACAAGGAAGAAGAGGCUAGCCACACAAAAAGGAAGUAGACGAGAAUAAAAGCAAGAGUGUGAGAGGCUGCCUCGCCCCAGUCACUGACGGUACAUAACGCGCUUAGUACAUCGCUGGCAUGCAUUUUGCCGGCAGACACUGCAUAUGCUUUGCUCUCAUUCACAGGAAGCGAAAGAGAGGUGAGAUGAUUCCGCAUUCAAGAUAAAAAUCUGGCCCAACAAAUGAAGAAUAAUUUCCUCCGCAGAUGACUUCAUCGACUUUUAGGGGGCAUCAACAUUCAAGUUUUUCAAAAAGUGUGUACCCCGGGGAAAGUUGAUGUAUUUCGGUGAAGCUGGAUUCGGGGGUUGAAUUUUCCAAAAACGCCCACAACCUCCAUUGUUAUAUUUUUGUGGCGUAACCCUGAUAAGCUAGCUCACAAAUGUCACUGAAAACAUGACCAACUUGGCGGAGCCACGAAGAGAAAAUGUGAACAGGAGGCUCUGCAUCACACACACACACACACACACACACACACACACACACACACACACACACACGCAAGCAUACACAGACAUUUAUACUUGCUCGGCACCAUGCAGUGCCACCGCAAAAUAAAACAAAAAACCAAGGUGUGUGUCAACAUGCGUUACACCGCAUUUCCUCUUAUUUUUAAGCCGUCGUGGGGAAACGUGCUCCUUUUUUCUCUCUCCGGUGUGACGCAAGCAGCCGCAGUCAUUUCCACGGCGAUUGUCAGGCGCCAUCGGAGAGCGCCGAUAACCCCUGCCAAGGCUUGGCACGGCCAACAGGUGGCGGCGCUGCCAGCCACCCAGCUUGGCAGCGACAUGGCUGCAGCAAAGGGGAAAAAAAAAAAAAUCUGACAUCCAGAAGGGGCGCAGACUUGCACUGAACGCACCGGCGAAGCAACACUGCUGAUUAUCAAUUAACAUAUAGCAUUUGUGUGUGUGUGUGUGUGGGGGGACACAAAAAAUAACUCGAGAUUACAAUGUAUUCAGAAUUUGCGCGUGAAUGCUAAUUCUGAAUUGGAAUGCCGCGGAACUGGCUGAAUUGUUGAAAUGUAGAAUGUGAGACUUGAAGUUGGAAUGAGGUAAAUACGUGACAGUUCUGCAUUUGGCAAUGUCACGGAAAAUGUGGAUUCAUCAUCAAUGUGUGAAUUUUGGGAACGUGAAAAUAGUUUUCAAGGUGUCCCCUGAACAGUUUCAAGUUGGAAUGAUUUGAAUCGGCUGCUAAAUUGUGAUAGAUGAAAGUACGGGAUGACUUUAUUUUGAAACAUUGGUCUCCACUAAUUCUGCUGCAAAACAUGGAUUUGAGGGACAAAUUAAGACUUUUUGAAACCUGUUGAAAAAGUUCCCAAGAUCUCCUGAACGAUGUCAAUAUUUUGAAGUUAGAUAUAUCAAAUGUGGGAUAUGUCCCUUUUUUCAUUUCAAUUGGAUUAUUUUCAUUUCAACAGUUCCGAGGAUGCCUGAAUGACGGGAAUAUUUUGCAUCUGCAAUGGAGAAAUGUGGAAGAGGUAGAACGGCAAAAAUUGGAGGAAUAAUAAUCAUGAGAAAAUACUUUGGGGGUUCGGGGUGGGGUGCAAGAAUAAUAUGUUGCAACAACUAGUUUAUCACAAUCUGAAUGCAGAUUUAGCUGGGCUCAAUGUGGGUUCGCAGCAAUGUGGCCUAGACACACGCACACACUCUGUUUUGUAAUUGUGGCAGGCUGGAUUUGGUGCCGCUUGGCCACGUUUUUAAGGAAAACACGAAGUGCCAAAAGAGGUCUCGUUUGCCACCGAAGGCGUUUAAAUGUCAAUCGUCAUUACGCGUUUGCUACACCUGGGCCAGCACUCUUUAAACUGCGGGACAAGAAUAUUUUGUCUAUUUGGGAGGGGGGGUGGGCGGAAGGUGAAAAAAAA